UGUAAAAGUAAAUAAUUCAUACAAAAGUGUAAAAAUCAAAUGGCAAAUAAAAUCGAAUGUACAAUAUGUCAUAAAAGUGUAAAUAAUGUCAAAAAAAGCGUAAAUAAUCAAUAAAUUUCGGUGUAAAUCAUCUUCUAACAGAAAGCAGUUUGGCUGGUUUUGUUAAGAUUUACUUACCACCAGCCAUUGAGGAUGUAAAGGGUUUGCUUUGGAAGAUGUAGUGUAAAUAGAAAAAAAAAAUAAAGUGAAAUAAAUAAAAUAAAAUUUUAACAUGCAAAAACGACAGAGUAGAGCAACAGAAUAUGGUAGUAGUCGUAGCAGAAAGAAAGAAGCUGCUGUUUGCUGAAUAGUCAAGUGGAAUUCCAAUGUCAUGGUUCAGUUUUGAAGUUUGAAGAUUAAAUAAAGCAAAAUUUGGCCGUCUUAAAGAAUUGACAUUAAACGCAGGACCUUUUAAGGUAAAGUUU